rnacentral:rRNA from 1 species
CCUCGAUCAAUCAUGUGGGAUAGCGUAUGAUCGAUCGUGUGGCGUGUGCUCGGCCUGACUCCGACAGCGACGCCGGCGCGAGGUAGGGGAGGUGGAUGCCCUGAGGUCGACGACGCUGCCUUACCGGCGAGGACGGAGCACGCUGCUGUUGGAAUUUAUUGCUUCACUGCGUUGCUGGAGCACGCUCCAACAUUUGCUGUGUCAAUGAUUUGGUUGGCGAUUCGACUAGACAUCGAUCUAUCGGUUGCACCAGGAAAGGUCUAGAGUUUUAUGAGUCUGAUUGAUUAUUCCUCCAUCUCACACCAUCUAUAAAACAUUUCCAUCAGCUAGCACUUCCUUCUUAACAACACCAAGAGUUGCUUGCAAGUUACAAGGUGAUGAGAGGCAGCAAGGAAACACAAACACACACACGCACACAGAGACAUGGGAUCCUUGGGCCCUGCCGUGAGCGUGAGCAUGGCCAAGGCCAACGGCGGCAAGGUGGCCGUCGGCGGCCAGAAGCAGCAGCAGAGCGGCACGUUCAGCUGCGGCUUCCAGAUGCCGCUGCACUACCCGCGGUACAGGAAGGCGGACUACGAGGCGAUGCCGGAGUGGCGCGUCGACUGCCUGCUCCGAGAGUACGGCCUCCCUGUCACAGGCGACAUCGAGGAAAAGAGGAGGUUCGCCAUGGGCGCCUUGCUCUGGCCCGGCCAGUAUUGAUUCACCUUGUUACAUGAGUAUUACAUAUUUCCAUUCGGAGCAGAGGCCGAUCAGCAAGCUACCGCCUAGCAGAGACUGAUCAGCAAUGGCAGCAGCAACAUCACGUCUCCAUGACCAUGUAUGAAGAAGACCUCGCGAUAUUAUAUUUCUAUCUAUAUCUAUAUCUAUAUCUAUAUCUAUAUCUAUAUCUAUACCUACUAUUAAAGGGAAUAAGUAUUCUUGGUUUGGUUUAGUCCUUUAUGUUUGGUUUACACAUGUUAAGCGAUCUAAGCCAGUUACUUGUAUGUUGAUGGGCCUUUUAUGGGCUUUCAUACAGAGACCGUGAAAAAUAAUUGGGUCAAAAUAAAUCAACAUUGUGAGAAUUGAACACAAGACCUCAUGUCCAUCUCUUAGAUGUAACAACCAAAGACUUAUGCACCUUUCAUAUUUACUAAUCCUAACUCACUCUAAAUAUAUGAGUGGCAGUCAUCAUGUUUAUUUAUUUUUUUGCGAGAAAAGGAGUUGAUAUUAAAACGGCCAGGAUCCGCACGCCCCGGUGCCUCCGCUCGGCCUGGCCGCUCCCGUAGGCCACGAACGCGAGGAGGGGAGAAGGCCUCCAUCGCCAGCCACCGCGAGGGGCUUUGCCCCGGCGGCUCUGGCCGGCGGCGGCGGGGAAGGGGAGGAGGAGGAGGGCUAGCGGCAAGGGGUCCACACAGAAAAUGAAAUUACAACCAAGCUCCUCUGCAACCCGACUAAGCUCGCGCCGUGGAUGAGCCGGUGACGCGCCGUUCGCCGCUGCUCGCUGACGCCUUGGAUCGAAGCAGCCCCUGGGCAAAACGGAAAGUCUCCGAUCAACGGUCCCUGUGGACCUACACCCAUGGUCGUCGUCAUCGUCACACCGCUCAACAUCGCCUUCCUUCUCCACAUCUUCAACCACCGGAAUCGCCAUCCCUCAAUCUCCGGCACGGGGGAACCAUGCACGGCCUCUCCACCGAGCAGCGAGCACGAAGAAAGGAGCUGGUCCACCGCGGAGCUCCACCGGAACUUCGCCGUCGAAGGGGGGGCCAACACCUAUAAAAAGCCGAUCCAGUCGCACCGCCGCCUCCACGACGCCACCGGCUGGCUCCCUAGGCACUCCUACACUAUGUACACGCUGCAAAUCGGGCCUCCCCCGUCCUCCUACCGCCGGAGCGUCCGACGGAGGGUGAGGGAGCCGCCGAUUCGGCAACGGCGAGGUGGAGAGCCCGGGGUUCGCACAAAUCUUCCUUCGUUCCUGUAGAUGGGGAAGGGUAAGGUCCAAGGCUCAUGUUUAGGGAGAGAUAAUUAAGCGAAUGAGCUAAUAAAGGAGGAUUGUGGGCUUAAAUAUAAUAUUUAAACGAAUGUGGCUAAUUAAAGAAAGGAUUAUGGAUAAAUCGAUGGAAUAACUAUUAGAAAGAUUAUGGUCUUAAUAAAUUCUACAUGAAGGAUUUGAGAUAAAAAGGUAGGAUAAUUAAAAGAAAGGAUCUAUAGGGCUUAAUGUGUUGGAGCUACUAAACUAGAAAAUGAAGGAUUUGAUUCCCGACUAAAACGGGUGAGGACUUCAUGGUAAUUAAUGAAAGGAUCAUACUUAAAUGCCAUUAAAAAAAUGAUUGUAUUUAAAUGAAAUUAGUGGGAUAUUACGCCCCGCAAAGAAAAUAUGAACACGACUAAAUUGCGACGUAUUUUUUUAUGUUCAUUUUGUAGAAGGACGAUGCUGCAUUGCAACAUGUUCUUCAUAAUGAAUCCAAUGCUGUGGGACAUUAUGCUUGUGCAAAACAUUAAUUUUCCCCGUUGCAACGCAUGGGCAUAUGUGCUAGUUCCUUUGUAAAGAAAUACAAGAUCACUAAUAGUGAUCUAAACUACCUUAUGUUUCUUUACGAAGGGAGUAUCAUCUAAUCGUACUCUUCAAUUAUCCAUAGACAGUGGGGUCAUGUACCCUGCUCCCCCACUUUGCCGCCGCUGGCAGGGACGAA